AGCCUGAACGCUGGCGGCGUGGCUAAGACAUGCAAGUCGUACGGGUGUAGCAAUACACCAGUGGCGAACGGGUGAGUAAUGUAUCGCUAAUGUGCCCCGGAUUCUGGGAUAGCUAUCCGAAAGGGCAGGUAAUACCAGAUGACAUAUCCCUUCCGCAUGGUUGGGAUCUCAAAGGUCCGCCGGUCUGGGAGCGGGCAGUAUCGGUAUCAGGCUAGUUGGUGAGGUAACGGCUCGACCAAGGCGACGACGCGUAGCCGGACUGAGAGGUUGGCCGGCCACAUUGGGACUGAGACACUGCCCAGACUCCUACGGGGGGCUGCAGUAACGAAUCUUCCGCAAUGCACGAAAGUGUGACGGAGCGACGCCGCGUGUAGGACGAAGCCCUUCGGGGUGUAAACUACUGUCAGGGUUAGAAAGUUCUGAUCAACCCAGAGGAAGGCACGGCUAACUCUGUGCCAGCAGCCGC
rnacentral:rRNA from 1 species